rnacentral:rRNA from 1 species
UGACGACCAUAGCAAGGCGGUCCCACUCCUUCCCAUCCCGAACAGGACAGUGAAACGCCUUCGCGCCGAUGAUAGUGCGGAGUUCCCGUGUGAAAGUAGGUCAUCGUCA